rnacentral:rRNA from 1 species
UUGCACGCUGGCGGCAGGCCUAACACAUGCAAGUCGAACGGUAACAGGAAGAAGCUUGCUUCUUUGCUGACGAGUGGCGGACGGGUGAGUAAUGUCUGGGAAACUGCCUGAUGGAGGGGGAUAACUACUGGAGACGGUAGCUAAUACCGCAUAACGUCGCAAGACCAAAGAGGGGGACCUUCGGGCCUCUUGCCAUCGGAUGUGCCCAGAUGGGAUUAGCUAGUAGGUGGGGUAACGGCUCACCUAGGCGACGAUCCCUAGCUGGUCUGAGAGGAUGACCAGCCACACUGGAACUGAGACACGGUCCAGACUCCGACGGGAGGCAGCAGUGGGGAAUAUUGCACAAUGGGCGCAAGCCUGAUGCAGCCAUGCCGCGUGUAUGAAGAAGGCCUUCGGGUUGUAAAGUACUUUCAGCGGGGAGGAAGGGAGUAAAGUUAAUACCUUUGCUCAUUGACGUUACCCGCAGAAGAAGCACCGGCUAACUCCGUG